UUUCCUGUGGCCAAGUGGUACGGCUUCGUGCUUAUGUGGUAACCUUAUGCUUCACGACGAUCGUGGGUUCAACCCCCACCGGGAAAA